UACAGAGGUGGCAAGCGUUGUUCGGAAUUACUGGGCGUAAAGGGCGCGUAGGCGGCCUUCUAAGUCAGACGUGAAAUCCCCCGGCUUAACCUGGGAACUGCGUCUGAUACUGGGAGGCUUGAGUAUGGGAGAGGGAUGUAGAAUUCCAGGUGUAGCGGUGAAAUGCGUAGAUAUCAGGAGGAACACCGAUGGCGAAGGCAGCAAACUGGGCAUUAACUGACGCUGAGGCGCGAAAGCGUGGGUAGCAAACAGG
rnacentral:rRNA from 1 species